rnacentral:rRNA from 1 species
GAUGAACGCUGGCGGCGUGCCUAAUACAUGCAAGUCGAGCGAACAGACGAGGAGCUUGCUCCUUUGACGUUAGCGGCGGACGGGUGAGUAACACGUGGGUAACCUACCUAUAAGACUGGGAUAACUUCGGGAAACCGGAGCUAAUACCGGAUAAUAUUUCGAACCGCAUGGUUCGAUAGUGAAAGAUGGCUUUGCUAUCACUUAUAGAUGGACCUGCGCCGUAUUAGCUAGUUGGUAAGGUAACGGCUUACCAAGGCAACGAUACGUAGCCGACCUGAGAGGGUGAACGGCCACACUGGAACUGAGACACGGUCCAGACCCCUACGGGAGGCAGCAGUAGGGAAUCUUCCGCAAUGGGCGAAAGCCUGACGGAGCAACGCCGCGUGAGUGAUGAAGGUCUUCGGAUCGUAAAACUCUGUUAUUAGGGAAGAACAAACGUGUAAGUAACUGUGCACGUCUUGACGGUACCUAAUCAGAAAGCCACGGCUAACUACGUG